rnacentral:rRNA from 1 species
AGAGUUUGAUCCUGGCUCAGAUUGAACGCUGGCGGCAGGCCUAACACAUGCAAGUCGAACGGUAACAGAGAGCAGCUUGCUGCUCUGCUGACGAGUGGCGGACGGGUGAGUAAUGUCUGGGGAUCUGCCCGAUGGAGGGGGAUAACCACUGGAAACGGUGGCUAAUACCGCAUAACGUCGCAAGACCAAAGUGGGGGACCUUCGGGCCUCACACCAUCGGAUGAACCCAGAUGGGAUUAGCUAGUAGGUGGGGUAACGGCUCACCUAGGCGACGAUCCCUAGCUGGUCUGAGAGGAUGACCAGCCACACUGGAACUGAGACACGGUCCAGACUCCUACGGGAGGCAGCAGUGGGGAAUAUUGCACAAUGGGCGCAAGCCUGAUGCAGCCAUGCCGCGUGUAUGAAGAAGGCCUUCGGGUUGUAAAGUACUUUCAGCGGGGAGGAAGGGAUGGAGCUUAAUACGCUUCGUCAUUGACGUUACCCGCAGAAGAAGCACCGGCUAACUCCGUGCCAGCAGCCGCGGUAAUACGGAGGGUGCAAGCGUUAAUCGGAAUUACUGGGCGUAAAGCGCACGCAGGCGGUCUGUCAAGUCGGAUGUGAAAUCCCCGGGCUCAACCCGGGAACUGCAUUCGAAACUGGCAGGCUAGAGUCUCGUAGAGGGGGGUAGAAUUCCAGGUGUAGCGGUGAAAUGCGUAGAGAUCUGGAGGAAUACCGGUGGCGAAGGCGGCCCCC